AUUGAACGCUGGCGGCAUGCCUUACACAUGCAAGUCGAACGGCAGCACGGGAGCUUGCUCCUGGUGGCGAGUGGCGAACGGGUGAGUAAUACAUCGGAACGUACCCUGAAGUGGGGGAUAACGUAGCGAAAGUUACGCUAAUACCGCAUAUUCUGUGAGCAGGAAAGAGGGGGAUCGCAAGACCUCUUGCUUUAGGAGCGGCCGAUGUCGGAUUAGCUAGUUGGUGAGGUAAAGGCUCACCAAGGCGACGAUCCGUAGCGGGUCUGAGAGGAUGAUCCGCACACUGGGACUGAGACACGGCCCAGACUCCUACGGGAGGCAGCAGUGGGGAAUUUUGGACAAUGGGCGCAAGCCUGAUCCAGCCAUGCCGCGUGAGUGAAGAAGGCCUUCGGUGUAAG
rnacentral:rRNA from 1 species